rnacentral:rRNA from 1 species
CAAUGGGGCNNCNAAGCCUNGAUGCAGCGACGCCNNCGUGNAGGGAUGACGGCCUUUCGGGUNNNNAAACNUNUUUCANNNGGGACGAAGCGCAAGNNGACGGUACCUAUAGAAGAAGGACNNGGCCAANUANNNGNNNNNNNGCCNNCGGUAAUACGUAGGNUCCGAGCGUUNUCCGGAAUUACUGGGCGUAAAGAGNUCGUAGGUGGUUUGUCGCGUUGUUCGUGAAAACUCACAGCUUAACUGUGGGCGUGCGGGCGAUACGGGCAGACUAGAGUACUGCAGGGGAGACUGGAAUUCCUGGUGUAGCGGUGGAAUGCGCAGAUAUCAGGAGGAACACCGGUGGCGAAGGCGGGUCUCUGGGCAGUAACUGACGCUGAGGAGCGAAAGCGUGGGGAGCGAACAGGAUUAGAUACCCUGGUAGUCCACGCCGUAAACGGUGGGUACUAGGUGUGGGUUUCCUUCCUUGGGAUCCGUGCCGUAGCUAACGCAUUAAGUACCCCGCCUGGGGAGUACGGCCGCAAGGCUAAAACUCAAAGGAAUUGACGGGGGCCCGCACAAGCGGCGGAGCAUGUGGAUUAAUUCGAUGCAACGCGAAGAACCUUACCUGGGUUUGACAUGCACAGGACGCCAGUAGAGAUAUUGGUUCCCUUGUGGCCUGUGUGCAGGUGGUGCAUGGCUGUCGUCAGCUCGUGUCGUGAGAUGUUGGGUUAAGUCCCGCAACGAGCGCAACCCUUGUCUCAUGUUGCCAGCACGUUAUGGUGGGGACUCGUGAGAGACUGCCGGGGUCAACUCGGAGGAAGGUGGGGAUGACGUCAAGUCAUCAUGCCCCUUAUGUCCAGGGCUUCACACAUGCUACAAUGGCCGGUACAAAGGGCUGCGAUGCCGUGAGGUGGAGCGAAUCCUUUCAAAGCCGGUCUCAGUUCGGAUCGGGGUCUGCAACUCGACCCCGUGAAGUCGGAGUCGCUAGUAAUCGCAGAUCAGCAACGCUGCGGUGAAUACGUUCCCGGGCCUUGUACACACCGCCCGUCACGUCAUGAAAGUCGGUAACACCCGAAGCCGGUGGCCUAACCCUUGNGG